rnacentral:rRNA from 1 species
GACGAACGCUGGCGGCGUGCUUAACACAUGCAAGUCAAGGGGGCCGACGCAAUGGGCGAACCGGCGAACGGGUGCGUAACACGUGAGCAACCUACCGAACCGUGGGGAGUAGCCGGCCUAACGGCCGAGUAAUACCGCAUACGCUCUCAGAGAGGCAUUUCUUUGAGAGGAAACCUACGGGACAGAUCGAGGGGCUCGCGGCCUAUCAGCUAGUUGGCGAGGUAACGGCUCACCAAGGCAACGACGGUAGCUGGUCUGAGAGGAUGGCCAGCCACAUUGGGACUGAGAUACGGCCCAGACUCCUACGGGAGGCAGCAGUGGGGAAUCUUGCGCAAUGGCCUAACGGCUGACGCAGCGACGCCGCGUGU